rnacentral:rRNA from 1 species
GCACCGAGCGGAUGAGUUGCGAACGGGUGAGUAACGCGUAGGUAACCUGCCUCUUAGCGGGGGAUAACUAUUGGAAACGAUAGCUAAUACCGCAUAAAAGUCGAUAUCGCAUGAUAUUGAUUUGAAAGGUGCAAUUGCAUCACUAAGAGAUGGACCUGCGUUGUAUUAGCUAGUUGGUGAGGUAACGGCUCACCAAGGCGACGAUACAUAGCCGACCUGAGAGGGUGAUCGGCCACACUGGGACUGAGAUACGGCCCAGACUCCUACGGGAGGCAGCAGUAGGGAAUCUUCGGCAAUGGGGGCAACCCUGACCGAGCAACGCCGCGUGAGUGAAGAAGGUUUUCGGAUCGUAAAGCUCUGUUGUAAGAGAAGAACGAGUGUGAGAGUGGAAAGUUCACACUGUGACGGUAACUUACCAGAAAGGGACGGCUAACUACGUGCCAGCAUCCGCGGUAAUACGUAGGUCCCGAGCGUUAUCCGGAUUUAUUGGGCGUAAAGCGAGCGCAGGCGGUUAGAUAAGUCUGAAGUUAAAGGCUGUGGCUUAACCAUAGUACGCUUUGGAAACUGUUUAACUUGAGUGCAGAAGGGGAGAGUGGAAUUCCAUGUGUAGCGGUGAUAUGCGUAGAUAUAUGGAGGAACA